GUCGGAUCAAUAGUUUGAGAGAGAUAAUCGUUUCGAUGAGUGCAAUCCUGAAUGUCGUGAGUACGGCAAAUCUACUUGGCAUGCCAAUUGCCGUAUUUUUAUUCUCGUGAAUAAACAUAAAACGCACUUGUAUACGUGUACGUCUUUGGAACAUGAGUUCAUCAAAAUUAUACCGGUUGCAACACCUGGCCUAAGAUUGCUUGCUCCAAGGUCUUCAACUGACUAACUGCUCAUUGUGCCCGUUUCAUAUUCAACAUUAUUAUGUGACUAACAUGCGCCAUCGCGACUUUCACGCAUGAAAUAGUCACGGAGCCAGGCGACGCGGCGCGAUGGUUGCGCAAGCAGAUACAAUCUAGCACGUGACAUUCCGAAUUCGUCGGAGCCACCAAAGCACGUGAAGGGGACGCGGGAGUGAGAGGGUCGAACGAGGUCGAGUGACCCGCGCGUGCAAGAAGAAUGGUGCAUUCGAUUCGAAUGCAGCCCGAAAUCGCGAGCGACGGGAAGCGCCGCGUAUAAGUUCGGGCUGGUAUAUUCGUUGCAAAGCGUCGUUGCAGCGUUGACUGUUGCAAAACAGGAAAACAAGUUACGCGUCUGACGCUAAUGUGAUUUGCGGAACGCGGUAGGUAUAACGUGGAGAAGUGAAAGGGGGCCAGAGAAGACCGAGGGAAUCAGAUGGCAGGACGAAGAAACAAGACAGCGAGUUCGCGCCAUUGUAUCGUCCCGUUUAAAGCCGAGGAGAAACAUCGCGGUGGAAAAAAAAGAGACCCGCGCCUAGGUGGCCACUUAACGCAACGCCCGAAUUUUCCACACGACUACUCCAACAGAGACGCCGCAUUGUUUCCGGAGGAGACGCAGGGGACAUGGGGAGAAUGGCGAAGAAAAGACAGAAGACCGCGACGUGCGCAUCCAUAAGCGCGAGAUAUUAAAAAUCACCGGUUUUGCUCUUGAUUACUGGUAAUUCAUAUUAUAGAAAGUAUAGCUAAAAAUACUAAAAUUUAAUAAAAAUGACAACAUGCUUAA